AUAAAAAUCUUAAAAAAAAUUGGACUGAUACAGAGAAGAUUAGUGUGGCCCCUGAACAAGGAUGACAUGCAAAUUUGUGAGGAAAUGGGAAAGCAAUAUUGAUUUUU
rfam:Canis lupus familiaris chromosome 1, whole genome shotgun sequence.